ACGAACGCUGGCGGCGUGCCUAAUACAUGCAAGUCGAGCGAAGUUUUUCUGGUGCUUGCACCGGAAAAACUUAGCGGCGAACGGGUGAGUAACACGUAAAGAACCUGCCUCAUAGACUGGGACAACUAUUGGAAACGAUAGCUAAUACCGGAUAACAGCAUUAACUGCAUGGUUGAUGUUUAAAAGUUGGUUUUGCUAACACUAUGAGAUGGCUUUGCGGUGCAUUAGCUAGUUGGUGGGGUAAAGGCCUACCAAGGCGACGAUGCAUAGCCGACCUGAGAGGGUGAUCGGCCACACUGGGACUGAGACACGGCCCAGACUCCUACGGGAGGCAGCAGUAGGGAAUCUUCCGCAAUGGGCGAAAGCCUGACGGAGCAACGCCGCGUGAGUGAAGAGGGAUUUCGGUUCGUAAAGCUCUGUUGUUAGGGAAGAAUGAUUGUGUAGUAACUAUACACAGUAGAGACGGUACCUAACCAGAAAGCCACGGCUAACUACGUG
rnacentral:rRNA from 1 species